AGAGUUUGAUCCUGGCUCAGGAUGAACGCUAGCUACAGGCUUAACACAUGCAAGUCGAGGGGAAACGACAUCGAAAGCUUGCUUUUGAUGGGCGUCGACCGGCGCACGGGUGAGUAACGCGUAUCCAACCUGCCCAUCACUUGGGGAUAACCUUGCGAAAGUAAGACUAAUACCCAAUGACGUCUCUAGAAGACAUCUGAAAGAGAUUAAAGAUUUAUCGGUGAUGGAUGGGGAUGCGUCUGAUUAGCUUGGUUGGCGGGGUAACGGCCCACCAAGGCGACGAUCGAGUAGGGGUUCUGAGAGGAACGUCCCCCGANAGUUGGAACUGAGACACGGUACCAAACUCCGUACGGGACGGCA
rnacentral:rRNA from 1 species